GUAGGUGGCAAGCGUUGUCCGGAAUUAUUGGGCGUAAAGCGCGCGCAGGCGGUUCUUCAAGUCUGAUGUGAAAGCCCACGGCUCAACCGUGGAGGGUCAUUGGAAACUGGAGAACUUGAGUACAGAAGAGGAAAGCGGAAUUCCACGUGUAGCGGUGAAAUGCGUAGAGAUGUGGAGGAACACCAGUGGCGAAGGCAGCUUUCUGGUCUGUAACUGACGCUGAGGCGCGAAAGCGUGGGGGAGCAAACAGGAUUAGAUACCCUGGUAGUCCACGCCGUAAACGAUGAGUGCUAAGUGUUAGGGGGUUUCCGCCCCUUAGUGCUGCAGCUAACGCAUUAAGCACUCCGCCUGGGAGUACGGCCGCAAGGCUG
rnacentral:rRNA from 1 species